rnacentral:misc_RNA from 1 species
UCCGGCUUAUCACCGGCAGUCCCUUUAGAGUGCCCAACUGAAUGGUGGCAACUAAAGGCGAGGGUUGCGCUCGUUGCGGGACUUAACCCAACAUCUCACGACACGAGCUGACGACAGCCAUGCAGCACCUGUCUCCGGUCCAGCCGAACUGAAGGGAUCCAUCUCUGGUUCCCGCGACCGGGAUGUCAAAGGCUGGUAAGGUUCUUCGUGUUGCUUCGAAUUGAACCACAUGCUCCACCGCUUGUGCGGGCCCCCGUCAAUUCCUUUGAGUUUCAGCCUUGCGGCCGUACUCCCCAGGCGGGGCACUUCAUGCGUUAGCGCCGGUACCCAGAGGGUCGCUCCCCUAAGCACCUAGUGCCCAUCGUUUACGGCGUGGACUAC